AGGGCGGGGCCCGGCUCCGGUUGUUCCGCCACGUUUGAGCGGGCGAGCCCGGCGGCCGGGAGACGCCAGGGAACGGGGCUGGUGGGGGUACAAAGGCUCGGUUCCGUCGCCUUCAGCCCUGCGGUGGGGGCACGGGGCAAGUGAGGGGACGGCAGAGGCGGCGUUCGGUGUGAGGCUGCGCCCUGGGCUCCUGAAAAUCCAGGGCUGCAGUCAUUUGAAGGCUUGACUGGGGCUGGAGGAUUUUCAUCCAAGAUGGCUCACUCACCCAGCUGUUGGCAGGAGACCUCGGUUCUUUGACUUCUCCGUAAGACUGUGGACUGGGGACUAAAGGCAAUAGCUUGACUUCUGAAAAGGGCUGGACUGAAGGUCAGCCACAUGGGCAGUGUGAAGGAUCCCCAGCAAAACUCUGGACAUCAGUGGCUGGGCAAGCUUCUCUGGUUGGCGGUACUCUGCAUAUUGUCACACAUCAACUCUGGGAGAAGAUCAUACUGUUCAUGUCUCCACAAGGGGAGGACAGCUGGAAACUCAGUGUCUGGACCUCUUUCCUUGGCUGAUUUUAUUGUGUAUC
rnacentral:lncRNA from 10 species